UGGUUCUGGCAUCGAUGAAGAACGCAGCGAAAUGCGAUAAGUAAUGUGAAUUGCAGAAUUCAGUGAAUCAUCGAAUCUUUGAACGCACAUUGCGCCCGGCAGUAUUCUGCCGGGCAUGCCUGUCCGAGCGUCAUUUCAACCCUCAAGCCCCCGGGCUUGGUGUUGGGGAUCGGCCCGCCCCUUGCGGCAGGCCGGCCCCGAAAUCUAGUGGCGGUCCCGCUGUAGCCUCCUCUGCGUAGUAGCAACACCUCGCACCGGAACGCGGCGGCGCCCUGCCGUAAAACCCCCAACUUCUAAUGGUUGACCUCGGAUCAGGUAGGAAUACCCGCUGA
rnacentral:misc_RNA from 1 species